rnacentral:rRNA from 1 species
UGAGUAAUGCAUCGGAACGUGCCCAAUCGUGGGGGAUAACGCCGCGAAAGCUGUGCUAAUACCGCAUACGAUCUACGGAGGAAAGCAGGGGAUCGCAAGACCUUGCGCGAAUGGAGCGGCCGAUGGCAGAUUAGGUAGUUGGUGAGGUAAAGGCUCACCAAGGCUUCGAUCUGUAGCUGGUCUGAGAGGACGACCAGCCACACUGGGACUGAGACACGGCCCAGACUCCUACGGGAGGCAGCAGUGGGGAAUUUUGGACAAUGGGGGAAAGCCUGAUCCAGCCAUGCCGCGUGCGCGAUGAAGGCCUUCGGGUUGUAAACUGCUUUUGUACGGAACGAAACGGCCUUUUCUAAUACACAGGGCUAAUGACGGUACCGGAAGAAUAAGCACCGGCUAACUACGUGCCAGCAGCCGC